ACAGUCGUCACCGUUGCGGCCCCUCGCCGCCCCGGGGCACUUUGGGAAUUGUAGUUUUUUGGGUCACCGCAUACUGACCCGAACAACAAAGAUGUGUCGGUGACUAAAACUACAAUUCCCAGGAAGCCCGGAAGCUCAAUUCGCGCUGUGUGGCGGGAGUGCCCUCGGAGGCCCCGCCUUUGGCUGGUGGAGGGAGCGUUCCCGCGGAUGAGUAUGGCGAAUUGUUGGCACCUGGAUGGUAAAUCUUCAAGUUACUAUGAAAGAAGAUCACAAACCAAAAAGUAACAUAGGAAAUACUAAAGACUGGAACAUUUUAUCAGAUUUUACUCGGUUUCAUAUACAGAAAGCUAUAGGAGUGUUUUGCCAGAUUCUAAAUGACAACUUUUAAAUCAGAGCCUUGAAAUCUACAGAAGUCCAGUAUAUACUGAGGAACAAAGGGAAUGUGGAAAUGAAAGAGAGAGGGAGAGAGAGGCUGGCAGAUGUAAUGAGACGCGGUGAAGGUGUACGCAGACUGGCACUCCCACUCCUCCCUUCUGCUCUCACUGCAGCCCUGGGUAACUCGCAGGCUAACACAAACAGCUUUUCUCCCGCAGCCUGCCCUCUGUCACUGUAAGUACAUCA